rnacentral:tRNA from 1 species
CCCUGGUGGCUCAGAGGUUAAAGCGUCUGCCUACAAUGUGGGAGACCCAGGUUCAAUCCCUGGAUCAGGAA